GGGUAAACACUUAAAAACAGCUUAUUUUCACAGUUUUAGAUGAAAGUAAGCUGAAAACGUGAAAUAACAAAAAUAAACUUAUUCUCACAUUAUAAUAAAAAUAAUUUUUUUUCUUCUAAACACCACAAUACUAAACCAGCGAGCUUUCGCGUGCAGACGCCCGUCCAGGACACUAAAUGUGACCAAACACAAAGGGAUGGGCUCAAAAUACAAGUAGGGGUGUUUAGUGGGUGGUUGGACGGCCGCGUUGUUCAGACAUCCACACCUAGAAUUUCUCCAGUGGGUGGCCUGCUGAUAGGAAACAAACGUUAGAUCACAUUAAUUGCUUCCCAAAGAAAGUCAAAUCUCCUCAACGAACCCAGUAAUGAAGAAGCAGACUCCUCUUUUAAACACUGAAUUCAACAAACAAACUACAAUGGAAAAAGAAAAACGAAAUCAGUAUUCAGGAUUCAGUAUUUACAACAAAAUGGAGCCUUCGUAUACUUACCGUACGAAUUUUUUGUUUAAAUUCCUUCCCGGGUUCUUUCUCUUAUGCAUGAUCUCGUGCCCGGAAUCCACAUUCGGAAACAAAUCUGAUCGCCU
rnacentral:lncRNA from 1 species